rnacentral:rRNA from 1 species
AGAGAUCCGGCAUAGGAUGGACAUGCGUCGCAUUAGGUAGACGGCGGGGUAACGGCCCACCGUGCCGACGAUGCGUAGGGGUUCUGAGAGGAAGGCCCCCCACACUGGUACUGAGACACGGACCAGACUCCUACGGGAGGCAGCAGUGAGGAAUAUUGGUCAAUGGCCGAGAGGCUGAACCAGCCAAGUCGCGUGAGGGAAGAAUGUCCUAAGGAUUGUAAACCUCUUUUGUCGGGGAGCAAAAAGGCUCUGCGGAGUCGUAUUGAGAGUACCCGAAGAAAAAGCAUCGGCUAACUCCGUGCCAGCAGCCGCGGUAAUACGGAGGAUGCGAGCGUUAUCCGGAUUUAUUGGGUUUAAAGGGUGCGCAGGCGGCGUGUCAAGCAAGCGGUAAAAUAGCGGGGCUCAACCCCGUCGAGCCGUUUGAACUGGCGCGCUUGAGUUCAGGCGAGGUAGGCGGAAUUCGUGGUGUAGCGGUGAAAUGCAUAGAUAUCACGAAGAACUCCGAUUGCGAAGGCAGCUUACCAGUCUGCGACUGACGCUCAGGCACGAAAGUGUGGGUAUCGAACAGGAUUAGAUACCCUGGUAGUCCACACAGUAAACGAUGAGCGCUAGGUGUCCGGGUCGCAUGAGACUUGG